UUUUUAAUUUGCUACAAGAUUAGUUACAAGUUUAUUUAAGAUUUAAGAUUUGAUUAAAGAUUGAUUAGAUUUGAUUUAGAAUCUAGGAUUUGAUUAGAGUUUGCUUAAAAUUUGGUUUAAAAUUUGGUCAAAGAUUAAGAUUUAUGAUUUGAUUAGGAUUUAUUUAAGAUUUGAUUAGACCUUAAGAUUUUAUUAGGAUAUAAUUAAGGUUGAUCUAAGAUUUAAGAUUUGAUUAGGAUUUAGGAUUUUGCUAAGAUUUGAUUAGGAUUGGUCUUCAAUUUAAGAUUUGAAUAGGAUUUGAUUUAAGAUU
rnacentral:lncRNA from 1 species